rnacentral:ncRNA from 2 species
ACUUCCGAGGAGCGUUGCAGCUCGCCGCCCAUGCCACGUGGGUGCCGCGAGUGAGGCUCGGAAAACACGCCGCGUCCUGCGCCGUGCCUGUCAACGGCGCUCACCCACU